GAGUUUGAUCGUGGCUCAGAUUGAACGCUGGCGGUAUGCUUAACACAUGCAAGUCGGACGGUAACAGGAGAGAGCUUGCUCUUUUGCUGACGAGUGGCGGACGGGUGAGUAAUGCGUAGGAAUCUGGCCUAGUAGUGGGGGACAACGUGUGGAAACGCACGCUAAUACCGCAUACGCCCUACGGGGGAAGCGGGGAGUCUUCGGACCUCGCGCUAUUAGAUGAGCCUACGUUAGAUUAGCUAGUU
rnacentral:rRNA from 1 species